AACGAACGCUGGCGGCAGGCUUAACACAUGCAAGUCGAGCGCCCCGCAAGGGGAGUGGCAGACGGGUGAGUAACACGUGGGAACAUGCCCAAAGGUACGGAAUAUUCUCGGGAAACUGGGAGCAAUACCGUAUGUGCCCGAAAGGGGAAAGAUGUUAUCGCCCUUGGAUUGGCCCGCGUUGGAUUAGCUAGUUGGUGGGGUAAAAGCCUACCAAGGCGACGAUCCAUAGCUGGUCUGAGAGGACGACCAGCCACACUGGGACUGAGACACGGCCCAGACUCCUACGGGAGGCAGCAGUGGGGAAUUUUGGACAAUGGGCGCAAGCCUGAUCCAGCCAUGCCGCGUGAGUGAUGAAGGCCCUAGGGUUGUAAAACUCUUUCGUGGGGGACGAUAAUGACGGUACCCCAAGAAGAAGCUCCGGCUAACUUCGUGCCAGCCGCCGCGGUAACAC
rnacentral:rRNA from 1 species